CACCGCCCGUUACACUAUGGGAGCUGGCCAUGCCCGAAGUCAUUACCUUAGCCGCAAGGAGGGGGAUGCCGAAGGCAGGGCUAGUGACUGGAGUGAAGUCGUAACAAGGUAGCCGUACUGGAAGGUGCGGCUG
rnacentral:ncRNA from 1 species